AGUGGGAGCGUACACAGGUGCUGCAUGGCUGUCGUCAGCUCGUGUCGUGAGAUGGUUGGGUUAACGUCCCGCAACGAGCGACCAACCCCUGCAUCCAGUUGCCAGUCGGGCGAGGCCGGGCACUCUGGAGGACUGCCGGCGACAAGCCGGAGGAAGGGUGGGAUGACGUCAAGUCAUCAUGGCCCUUAUGUCCGAGGGCGACACACGUGCUACAAUGGCCGGCACAGCGGGAAGCGGAGGGCGACCCUGAGCGGAUCCUUGAAAGCCGGUCCCAGUUCGGAUUGCAGUCUGCAACUCGACUGCAUGAAGUUGGAAUCGCUAGUAAUCGCGGAUCAGCCAAGCCGCGGUGAAUACGUUCCCGGGCCUU
rnacentral:rRNA from 1 species